rnacentral:rRNA from 1 species
UACGAAGGGGGCUAGCGUUGUUCGGAAUUACUGGGCGUAAAGCGCGCGCAGGUGGCUUAUCAAGUCAGGGGUGAAAGCCCGGAGCUCAACUCCGGAAUUGCCUUUGAAACUGAUGAGCUCGAGUACGGGAGAGGUGAGUGGAAUUCCCAGUGUAGAGGUGAAAUUCGUAGAUAUUGGGAAGAACACCGGUGGCGAAGGCGGCUCACUGGCCCGUUACUGACACUCAUGCGCGACAGCGUGGGGAUCAAACAGG